rnacentral:lncRNA from 7 species
AGUGGACGGCUGUAUACACAGAGCUGCUGGGCCCUGCUUACUUGCUGAAUGCCGCAACCUGAGUGGCUGUGAGACUGGACAAGCAAAAAUUACGUGUGGAUAUGACCUACCAGCAAAAUAUAUUUGAAGGAAAGCAGUGGUAUUUCCUGUAUUUUGCUGUUGUGGAUGCUUUUGUUGGAAGAACCUGUCACCUUCAUUGUAUAGAUUUUCCUCUUGACAGCAAUUUAAUGUUUGUGAAAUCGUGUUUCCUCCUCCAUAUGCUUUUGCGUAAUCAUGUGAGAAAUCUCCAGAUACACAUCAGUCCUGCUGCUGCUUCAGGACUUUACAAUUUCUCAAGAUCACAGGGGUGAGGUGGGACCUUCCAGCUGAGAACCUAUUCUUCACCGAGUCUAGCAAAAUUGUUUGAUGUAGGUGAAAUUUUGCAAAAGCACAAAGAAGUAUUAGCCUCUUGUGAACAGCCUUUCUGCAUCCCAUGCCUUCUCUUCCAUGAAAGAGGGAGAUGAAGAACGCUUUCAGAAAAGGCUUUUGCUUUUGGCACUUGUUGUGUCUCCACAAUAACUCUUACCUGCAUUUGCUCUCUCAGUUUACAGAAGUACUUGAGCUUUAAGAUACGUGAAAAAAUUUACUUAGAUCCUCCUCUCCCAUUUUAUUGUGACCAGAUUGAUUUUUAUAGGAAGGUAUUCCUGCAAUUUUAAUUAGGGAGCUCUUUGGUGCUCUGAAUAAAAUGUGUAAUCUGAAUUAUACCUAUAAAUUGUAACUGUUGGAAUGUUUAUCUUUUAAAGUUAACAUCUGCUUGAUUUGCUCAAGUUUCCUAUUUAAUGAAAGAUUUAUUUCUCAUUAGGUCAUUUUUGAUGGAUUGAUUUUCCUUUCCUUUGUCAAGGCUUGCCACUCAGUUAUUAUUGGCUGCUCUGCAAUAGUUUGAAGAUUCACUCAGUGAGCGGAACAUUCAUUGUCAGUAGUUUUCCAUAUUCAUUGCGUUAUGUCAGUUAUUUCCUACUUUAAUGGCUGAGUCAGAAUGUAGUAGGGUUUACCUGGGAAAACUGGAUUCUCUUUCUUCUCGUUUAGUACCUUACCUACCAAACGUAGCAUAGGUUCAAAUAAACAAUUAAU